UACAGAGGUCUCAAGCGUUGUUCGGAUUCAUUGGGCGUAAAGGGCGCGUAGGCGGCGGGGUAAGUCGGGUGUGAAAUCUCAGGGCUCAACCCUGAAACUGCACUCGAUACUGCUCUGCUUGAGGACUGGAGAGGAGACUGGAAUUCACGGUGUAGCAGUGAAAUGCGUAGAGAUCGGGAGGAAGACCAGUGGCGAAGGCGGGUCUCUGGACAGUUCCUGACGCUGAGGCGCGAAGGCCAGGGGAGCAAACGGG
rnacentral:rRNA from 1 species